UACGGGGGGGGGCAAGCGUUGUUCGGAAUUACUGGGCGUAAAGGGAGCGCAGGCGGCUAAACAAGUCUGGAGUGCAAGCCCGGGGCUCAACCCCGGAAUUGCUUUGGAUACUGUUUGGCUUGAGUACGUCAGAGGUGAGCGGAAUUCCAGGUGUAGCGGUGAAAUGCGCAGAUAUCAGGAGGAACACCGGUGGCGAAGGCGGUGGUCUGGGCCAGUACUGACGCUGAGGAGCGAAAGCGUGGGUAGCAAACAGG
rnacentral:rRNA from 1 species